rnacentral:rRNA from 1 species
UAUCAUUAACUGAAUCCAUAGGUUAAUGAGGCGAACCGGGGGAACUGAAACAUCUAAGUACCCCGAGGAAAAGAAAUCAACCGAGAUUCCCCCAGUAGCGGCGAGCGAACGGGGAGGAGCCCAGAGCCUGAAUCAGCAUGUGUGUUAGUGGAAGCGUCUGGAAAGGCGCGCGAUACAGGGUGACAGCCCCGUACACAAAAGCGCAUGUGCUGUGAGCUCGAUGAGUAGGGCGGGACACGUGGUAUCCUGUCUGAAUAUGGGGGGACCAUCCUCCAAGGCUAAAUACUCCUGACUGACCGAUAGUGAACCAGUACCGUGAGGGAAAGGCGAAAAGAACCCCGGCGAGGGGAGUGAAAAAGAACCUGAAACCGUGUACGUACAAGCAGUGGGAGCACCCUUUGGGUGUGACUGCGUACCUUUUGUAUAAUGGGUCAGCGACUUAUAUUCUGUAGCAAGGUUAACCGAAUAGGGGAGCCGGAGGGAAACCGAGUCUUAACCGGGCGUUAAGUUGCAGGGUAUAGACCCGAAACCCGGUGAUCUAGCCAUGGGCAGGUUGAAGGUUGGGUAACACUAACUGGAGGACCGAACCGACUAAUGUUGAAAAAUUAGCGGAUGACCUGUGGCUGGGGGUGAAAGGCCAAUCAAACCGGGAGAUAGCUGGUUCUCCCCGAAAGCUAUUUAGGUAGCGCCUCGUGAAUUCAUCUCCGGGGGUAGAGCACUGUUUCGGCUAGGGGGCCAUCCCGGCUUACCAACCCGAUGCAAACUGCGAAUACCGGAGAAUGUUAUCACGGGAGACACACGGCGGGUGCUAACGUCCGUCGUGAAGAGGGAAACAACCCAGACCGCCAGCUAAGGUCCCAAAGUCAUGGUUAAGUGGGAAACGAUGUGGGAAGGCCCAGACAGCCAGGAUGUUGGCUUAGAAGCAGCCAUCAUUUAAAGAAAGCGUAAUAGCUCACUGGUCGAGUCGGCCUGCGCGGAAGAUGUAACGGGGCUAAACCAUGCACCGAAGCUGCGGCAGCGACACUGUGUGUUGUUGGGUAGGGGAGCGUUCUGUAAGCCUGCGAAGGUGGCCUGUGAGGGUUGCUGGAGGUAUCAGAAGUGCGAAUGCUGACAUAAGUAACGAUAAAGCGGGUGAAAAGCCCGCUCGCCGGAAGACCAAGGGUUCCUGUCCAACGUUAAUCGGGGCAGGGUGAGUCGACCCCUAAGGCGAGGCCGAAAGGCGUAGUCGAUGGGAAACGGGUUAAUAUUCCCGUACUUGGUGUUACUGCGAAGGGGGGACGGAGAAGGCUAUGUUGGCCGGGCGACGGUUGUCCCGGUUUAAGCGUGUAGGUGUGUGUUCCAGGUAAAUCCGGUUCACUUUAACACUGAGGCGUGACGACGAGGCACUACGGUGCUGAAGCAACAAAUGCCCUGCUUCCAGGAAAAGCCUCUAAGCAUCAGGUAACAUCAAAUCGUACCCCAAACCGACACAGGUGGUCAGGUAGAGAAUACCAAGGCGCUUGAGAGAACUCGGGUGAAGGAACUAGGCAAAAUGGUGCCGUAACUUCGGGAGAAGGCACGCUGACACGUAGGUGAAGUGAUUUACUCAUGGAGCUGAAGUCAGUCGAAGAUACCAGCUGGCUGCAACUGUUUAUUAAAAACACAGCACUGUGCAAACACGAAAGUGGACGUAUACGGUGUGACGCCUGCCCGGUGCCGGAAGGUUAAUUGAUGGGGUCAGCGCAAGCGAAGCUCCUGAUCGAAGCCCCGGUAAACGGCGGCCGUAACUAUAACGGUCCUAAGGUAGCGAAAUUCCUUGUCGGGUAAGUUCCGACCUGCACGAAUGGCGUAAUGAUGGCCAGGCUGUCUCCACCCGAGACUCAGUGAAAUUGAACUCGCUGUGAAGAUGCAGUGUACCCGCGGCAAGACGGAAAGACCCCGUGAACCUUUACUAUAGCUUGACACUGAACAUUGAGCCUUGAUGUGUAGGAUAGGUGGGAGGCUUUGAAGUGUGGACGCCAGUCUGCAUGGAGCCGACCUUGAAAUACCACCCUUUAAUGUUUGAUGUUCUAACGUGGACCCGUUACCCGGGUUGCGGACAGUGUCUGGUGGGUAGUUUGACUGGGGCGGUCUCCUCCUAAAGAGUAACGGAGGAGCACGAAGGUUGGCUAAUCCUGGUCGGACAUCAGGAGGUUAGUGCAAUGGCAUAAGCCAGCUUGACUGCGAGCGUGACGGCGCGAGCAGGUGCGAAAGCAGGUCAUAGUGAUCCGGUGGUUCUGAAUGGAAGGGCCAUCGCUCAACGGAUAAAAGGUACUCCGGGGAUAACAGGCUGAUACCGCCCAAGAGUUCAUAUCGACGGCGGUGUUUGGCACCUCGAUGUCGGCUCAUCACAUCCUGGGGCUGAAGUAGGUCCCAAGGGUAUGGCUGUUCGCCAUUUAAAGUGGUACGCGAGCUGGGUUUAGAACGUCGUGAGACAGUUCGGUCCCUAUCUGCCGUGGGCGCUGGAGAACUGAGGGGGGCUGCUCCUAGUACGAGAGGACCGGAGUGGACGCAUCACUGGUGUUCGGGUUGUCAUGCCAAUGGCACUGCCCGGUAGCUAAAUGCGGAAGAGAUAAGUGCUGAAAGCAUCUAAGCACGAAACUUGCCCCGA